rnacentral:rRNA from 1 species
GACGAACGCUGGCGGCGUGCUUAACACAUGCAAGUCGAGCGGUAAGGCCCUUUCGGGGGUACACGAGCGGCGAACGGGUGAGUAACACGUGGGUGACCUGCCCUCAGCUCUGGGAUAAGCCUGGGAAACCGGGUCUAAUACCGGAUAUGACUCCAUGACGCAUGUUGUGGGGUGGAAAGCCUUGUGCGGCUGAGGAUGGGCCCGCGGCCUAUCAGCUUGUUGGUGGGGUGAUGGCCUACCAAGGCGACGACGGGUAGCCGGCCUGAGAGGGCGACCGGCCACACUGGGACUGAGACACGGCCCAGACUCCUACGGGAGGCAGCAGUGGGGAAUCUUGCGCAAUGGGCGAAAGCCUGACGCAGCGACGCCGCGUGAGGGAUGAAGGCCUGGUGUAA